CCUACGGGGGGCAGCAGUGAGGAAUAUUGGUCAAUGGAGGCAACUCUGAACCAGCCAUGCCGCGUGCAGGAAGAAUGCCCUAUGGGUUGUAAACUGCUUUUAUUUAGGAAGAAUCCCCAGUACGUGUACUGGGUUGACGGUACUAAACGAAUAAGGACCGGCUAACUCCGUGCCAGCAGCCGCGGUAAUACGGAGGGUCCAAGCGUUAUCCGGAAUCAUUGGGUUUAAAGGGUCCGCAGGCGGGCUAUUAAGUCAGUGGUGAAAUCUCUUGGCUUAACCAAGAAAUUGCCAUUGAAACUACUAGUCUUGAAUUCGGUCGAAGUGGGCGGAAUGUGUCAUGUAGCGGUGAAAUGCAUAGAUAUGACACAGAACACCGAUAGCGAAGGCAGCUCACUAGGCCUGAAUUGACGCUCAGGGACGAAAGCGUGGGGAGCGAACAGGAUUAGAUACCCGUGUAGUC
rnacentral:rRNA from 1 species